AGAUGGUCGGGCGGUCGCUGUAUUUUUCAUAAAAUAUGGAGGAAAGUCCGGGCUCCACAGGAAAACGGUGCCGGCUAACGGCCGGCGGGGGCGACCCUAGGGACAGUGCCACAGAAACAAAACCGUUCGCCUAUCUCUGCAUUUAUGCAGAGAUGCGAAUAAGGGUGAAACGGUGCGGUAAGAGCGCACCGCGCGCCUGGCAACAGGAGCGGUCAUGGUAAACCCCACCGGGAGCAAGACCGAAUAGGAGUGACAAGCCAAUUUAUGGCUAAGGGGUCCUGCCCUGUCAUUCGGGUUGGUUGCGUGAGGUGUAUUGUAAAAUACAUCCCAGAGGAAUGAUCGCCCCAUCCCAUACUAAAUGGGAUAGGACAGAACCCGGCUUACAGACCAUCUGG
rnacentral:RNase_P_RNA from 1 species